rnacentral:sRNA from 1 species
AAGAAAGUAAGUGCCGCCCCGCACAGGGGCGACGCUAAUAGACCAAUAACAAAUCAAGGAGAGGCCAAAAAGCCAGAUCAAGUAAAGUCAAAGAGCCAGUU